rnacentral:rRNA from 1 species
AAUGAACGUUGGCGGCGUGGAUUAGGCAUGCAAGUCGAGCGAGAAGGAUCCGGUGCUUGCAUUGGAUCUGGAAAGCGGCGAAAGGGAGAGUAACGCGUAGGGUAUCUGCCCCCAGGCCUGGGAUAGCGCGGGAAACUGCCGGUAAUACCGGAUAAUGUCUCCGGACCAAAGGUGAGAUUCCGCCUGGGGAUGGCCCUGCGUCCUAUUAGCUUGUUGGUGAGGUAAUGGCUCACCAAGGCAAAGAUGGGUAGCGGGCGUGAGAGCGUGGCCCGUCUCACUGGGACUGAGACACUGCCCAGACACCUACGGGUGGCUGCAGUCGAGAAUCUUCCGCAAUGGACGAAAGUCUGACGGAGCGACGCCGCGUGCGGGAUGAAGGCCUUCGGGUUGUAAAGCACUUUCAGUAGAGAAGAAAUGCCUGGGGUUAAUACCCCCGGGUCUUGACGUAACCUACAGAAGAAGCACCGGCUAACUCCGUG